ACUAAGAAAUGUGAUUAUGUAGAGAAUGACUAGUAAAUAAUUCUUAGUUUUUUUUAAUUGAGCUGAGAGCAAAUAAAACACAAAUGAGUUUUUUUUAAUGGAACUGAUGUUUGCUUUUAGGUUGAAACUUCCUAGCUCAUCAAAUACAACACAAUCCCAGUGGGAGAGAUUGAGGUUGGAUAUAUCUUCCAAAGAAUGCCACUUUCUAAAAAGGAUAGUGUUUCCACUGCAACAGUUUCAGUCCCCUGGAUAGAAUCUUCUGCUCAUGUCCACUUACAAGCAGAUUUUCUUCCAUCUCUGCCACUCCUGAGAUAGCAAGACCAACCCGUCCUCUUCCUCCUCAACCUACUCAAUGUGAAGAUGAUGAGGAUGAAGGCCUUUACGAUGAUCCACUUCCACUUAAUGAAUAUGAAAAUCAAGAGGCUGGGCCUUGAAGCAUCUCAGCAAGCAUGACGUCCUCUACACCAUACCCUCUGGCCUGGGGUUCAGCAGUCUUCACCAUUUCCAUUCCCUGAACCCCUCAAAAUCAGGAAUACAGGAGAUCAAGCAAUAACUUCAGCAAAUUACGAUUAGGAGGAGGGAGAAUGAGGAAGAGCAACUGGAGAGCCUCAAUUUGCCGGUCCUUGUCUGGUAUAUUGGUCUUGUUUCCUUUAUCAUCAAACUGCAUCA